rnacentral:rRNA from 1 species
CCCAAGAGUUCACAUCGACGGGGAGGUUUGGCACCUCGAUGUCGGCUCAUCGCAUCCUGGGGCUGUAGUCGGUCCCAAGGGUUGGGCUGUUCGCCCAUUAAAGCGGUACGCGAGCUGGGUUCAGAACGUCGUGAGACAGUUCGGUCCCUAUCCGUCGUGGGCGUAGGAAAUUUGAGAGGAGCUGUCCUUAGUACGAGAGGACCGGGAUGGACAUACCUCUGGUGUACCAGUUGUCGUGCCAACGGCAUAGCUGGGUAGCUAUGUGUGGACGGGAUAAGUGCUGAAAGCAUCUAAGCAUGAAGCCCCCCUCAAGAUGAGAUUUCCCAACUUCGGUUAUAAGAUCCCUCAAAGAUGAUGAGGUUAAUAGGUUCGAGGUGGAAGCAUGGUGACAUGUGGAGCUGACGAAUACUAAUCGAUCGAAGACUUAAUCAA